rnacentral:pre_miRNA from 1 species
CCAUUGUACCCUCCAUCCAAUAAAAGAUGUCUUAUUUUUUUUCAAAAUUUGGAUGUAUCUCGACAUGACUUAGUGUAUAGAUGCAUUCAAAAUUUAGUCAAAGUUGAAACAUCCUUUGUUGGACGGAGGGAAUACUAG